rnacentral:rRNA from 1 species
CAGUAGCCACGGUAAUACGGAGGGUGCAAGCGUUAAUCGGAAUUACUGGGCGUAAAGCGCACGCAGGCGGUUCGUUAAGUCAGAUGUGAAAUCCCCGUGCUUAACUUGGGAACUGCAUUUGAAACUGGCAAGCUAGAGUCUUGUAGAGGGGGGUAGAAUUCCAGGUGUAGCAGUGAAAUGCGUAGAUAUGUGGAGGAACACCGAUGGCGAAGGCAGCCCCCUGGGAUAACACUGACGCUCAUGCACGAAAGCGUGGGGAGCAAACAGGAUUAGAUACCCCAGUAGUCCCUGUCUCUUAUAC